AAAAAUUUUGCAAAUGGAUGAAAAUACAGUGGGCUUUAUUUGAACUCACCCUGGGUGUUAAUUGCCCCUAUUUCUGAAGGCAGCAGGGGAGAGGGAAGCUGGCAAGGAAGAGUGAGAGCAGCCAACAUUGCUUCUCUUUUCUCUGUGCUCUAGUGAAAAGGGGAUGAAACAUCACAAAGAGAUGAAAAUCUUUUGGUUUGCCCUGAAUCAGGCCAGCAUGUGUGAUGACUCAGGGAAGCCAUUGAUGGGUACAAUGUUAGAAGAAGAAAGUAACAGCAAGGGCAGGUUAUGAACAUAUUGUUCUGCCUGUAAAAUAGCCACUUGCCUACUUGCCCUGUACAAAGAAUGAUUUAUCCAGGCAAGAACACCCUGUAGGGAAGUAGAUCAAAAGAGAAAACCAACAAGUGAGAUGAACUAGAGCGGGGCUUCUCAAACUUUAAUGUGCAAGCCAAUUUCCUGAGGCACCUUGUUCAAAUGCAGAUGAGGACUCAGCAGUUCUGGGUGGGCCCGAGAUUCUGCAUUUCUAAGAAGCUCCAGGGUGAUGCAUAUGCUGCUCAAGUAGCAACAAACCAGAGGCUUUCAUAUGGCAGCAUUUUACCUAGAGCUGACCCUGGUGUCAGAAGAAAGUUCUUCCUAGGGGAUUGCCUGAGUCUAAAAGAAGACAUCAAGCAUUAAGCUUAUACUACAAAGACCAGCCGUACAUUCCAAGUCGAAAAGGAACAGACUCUCUUAAGAGUGAUCUUCACAUCUUCUUGCCUGCUCCCUGCUGUCACUGACAGUAGAGAAGAGGAACAUUUAUCUAUGUGGAAGCAAAUGUUUCCGUAAUAAAGAAAUCUAAAGUAUAAGCACUUGGUUAAAAAUAGACUAACCGACAUUGAUUCCUUGAAAAAAAUUAUUCAGCAAUGUAUGUAACAGCAAUCAUCAGAGGAUCUAAACUGCCAGGCUCUGAGGGCUGUGCGGAGAGAGAUUCAGGCUGCAGAUUAGAGAGGCUUCCUUCCUCCUGCAAGAUGCAUGUGCUUUCCGGCGUGGUUUGGCGGGACCCGCGCCCACGGACGGACCUGGUGGAGGACAGCGCAGGUGUGCCACGGCCCCUGCGAGCGCGGGGAGCCGCCCCUCUCUGCGGGGAGACCAUCUGUACACCUGAGGCCGGCUCAGCAGGAAAGGCUCCCUGGUUAACACAGCAGGACUUCUCAGAUGACCUUUCCCUUCCGUGAAGGCGGAAGGGAAAGGUCUGACUUAACGCAGGCUCAGCUUUCUCGCUUUUUCAAACAGAAACUGCAGGGGAAACAGACCAGGCUUUAUUUGACUUUGCGGGCACCGACCUAGGACUUUUCCGUGAAGUUCUCCCCCUACUUUUCAGUGGGAAAAAAUUAACAGUGAUAAAGAGAGAAACCCCUCAGUACCCAGAACAAGGUGUUUAUCCACUAGGCUUUGGAGAUUUUUGUUUGUUGGGCUUUUUUCCCCUGUUUUUCUUAAAUGUCAGCUUUAUUGAGGUACAAUUUAAAUGGAGUGAAAUCCUUCCUUUUUGGUACACAGUUCCAUGAGUUUUGACAAAUAAAACCACAAUCGAGACAUAGAACA
rnacentral:lncRNA from 1 species